rnacentral:lncRNA from 1 species
CAUGUGGACCAGGCCAGCCGCCACCGAGGACACCUUGUGUGGCCCCAGUCCUGGCACUGGCCUGGCUCCUAGUGAGGGUGGCCAGACCCUGGGCAGGGCUUCGUCGGCUGAGCUGCCUCCUGGCUGGUGGGCCUCAGCCUGCUUCUGAGGGAGGAGCAGCCCAGGUGUCCCUCAGCCUGUUUCAGCUCCAGCCGCUCCCUCGUGUUCUGUCUGCACUUAGUCCCCCCACGUGCUGCCCACCUCACACACACCGCUGCCUUCCUGCCUGCUGGAAGCUGGGGUCAAGGGCUCGAGCUGUGUGCCCAGCUGUGGCCCCUCCAAAGAGUCCAGAACCAACCAAGGCCCUUGACUGUGCAACCCUGGUUCUUGCCUCGCCUGAGAGUCUCUGCCCAAAUGCAUCUGGAGUCCCUGCCCUGCCAUGGAACUAGAGGUCGGAAGAGUGCAAGUGUGGGAUCGCUGUCCCCACCGGAGGCCCAGGACAAGCCACCCGGGUGAGGAGAGCUGGCAAGAAAGGAGGACCAUCCCUAGACACCUUGUGUUU